UAUAUUUGUUUGUAGCAAACAAAUGGCGCUACAGUGCUACAUUCAAAUACAGAUUUGCUAAAUAUAAACAAAUAAUUGUUUCAUUCAAAUGAACCAUAUCUUUGUCUCAAAUAAGUAUUGAUUGGGUUUAUUCAAAUAUGGGAUUUAUUUGUCUGAAACAAAUAUUAUUUGGCUCAAAUAAAUUGUUCUCUCAGUGCAACAUAACAAUUAGAUUUGAAUAUAAAACACAAUAAUUAUAUUGUAGUGUUCGAUCGUUAAAAUAACUCUAUAAAAAAAUCCAUAUGGGAAUCGAGCCUAGAUUCUUAUGUGGGUUCCGAUAUGCCGUUUUCGGAUGAAUUCUCAUAUGCUUUUCUAUAGGAAUAUAAAUCUGUUCUUUUUUUUAUGGGAGCGUAUCAAUAAACGAUAGACGUGGAUUAAAUUCAGAGUAAAAGUGGAGCGGAUGACUGUGCAUUUUUAUUUAAUGCUCUUGCAGGAAAAUUCAAUCCGAAAGGGAGUUCAUUAUAGUUUUAAAACUACGGUUUGAAAUGGAAUAAACUCCUAAAGGGAGUUAAUUUUAAAACUCCGAACCGGAGUGAAUACGGGUUGAAAGAAAAUCCAGAUUACUCCGAAAUAAAUAAAAUCCGUAAUCGCUUUGAAUUCACUCCCGCUAUUUUGCUAGUAUAUAUUCCUGGAUGUAUAUUUUUUCGUAUGGGAUACUUUGGUCAGCAAUUUUGAAUUUACAUUGAUGUAAUUUCAACGAAUCAUCAGAAAAAUCUAAACGAUAAUUUACAUAAUGUUCUUGCCACAUCAAUAAUCAACUAUCAGUAGUUGACUUCUAUGAUACAGAUCAAAAUGUCAAGGAAUCAAAAUCUGCAAUACGUAAUUGGUUGCGACAAAGAUUUAAACAAAUACGCGAGCUAAGAUAAUACAGAUGAUAGAUUCGCUUAUAAAUUAAGUCGGAAUCCAUUUCAAGUUCAGUACAUAGUCUGGCAACGAUCGAAAAUUCUCCGCAAAUCUUUUUAUUGAAUAGUAGUUAAAGUUUUUUUGUUUAAAUUUUUUAUAAAAAAAUUUCGUACUAUUCUACGUAAACUUGCUAGUUUAUAAAAUAUAUUUUUGAUAUUGUAGCAGAACAAAACAAAAUGUCUAAAAUAAUUUUAUUCUUAUCAAUUUUCUCAUUGACUGUCAUCUUGAGCAGUGCAAGUGAUGGAGGAUGUCUCGGAAAAUGGUGCCAUCCUCAGCAAGGUUACUACUGUUGCUUUGAUUAUGUUUGUUCUGGCUAUUGGUUCCAAGGUAACUGUGUAAUGGCUAUAUCUCCAUUUCAUGGAUAGUGAAAAAGAAUAAUAUAAUUUUACAAAGUUUGUAAAUACAAAAGCCAAGUCAUCAUUUUGUAAUAUUACUUUAUUUCUUAUCAGUAAUUAAUAUCAAAUUUAUGAAUAAUAAAUCUAAAUAAUAACGAA